AUGCUAUGACCUCGAAGCAUAGCUGAAUACUCCCAGAACAAGGCAUACCUUUGCCAAUCGAUGAACGACUUUGAGAUGGAUUUGGAGAUGCAACGUGACUUGGAGAUGGAGACGAGCCUGGGCCUUUGUCAAAACAGAAUUUCUUAACCAUUGAAGCUUGCAAUUGGCUUUAUCGCUUCUCAGUGAGAAAAAUUGGGGUAUCCACCACUUAGGAGUUUGCUUCUUCACCUUUUGAUGUUCGAUUUGCUUCUGCGUUUUAUUGAUCAACAAAUGGUGUGUUUCGAAUCGCCGUCAAAUUAGUAGCGAAAUUCCCGCCUUUGAUCACAACUCAGGUGUUAUUGGAGGGACAGUUCUUGCUG
rnacentral:lncRNA from 1 species